rnacentral:lncRNA from 1 species
CUUCCAUCCAUCACUACGCGUUCACCCGUUUGAUGUGCUUCCCAGGUGGCCAGACGGAGUUCGGAGUGACAAGAAACGGAGUCAUAACAUUGCCACGUGAAGAGUUGUGUCUCUGAAAACAACGAUUUCACCCUAAAAAUGAAAAACCCACCUUCAAAUCAACGAGCCCUAAUCUUCCAAACCUCAAACGAACCCUAUAAAUCCCUCCUAAAACUCAAGAUUCAAUCCCUCCCAAACCUCAAACGAACCUUAGAAAUCAAUUUAGGAAAACUACCUCGCUUCAUCUCUGCUACAUCAGCGAAUGGAGAAGCGUAUUAUGUGGUCGUAUGAAGCAUAUUCUUAGCGGCUAGUUGUCUGAUUUUUCUCUCUUUCCUGGGGGUGGUAGGAAUGAGAAAGCUUCUUCAUCCCUCUGAUCAGUGAAGCCUGACCACGUCUGAAGGGGUGUUGAUUCACACACAUGGAUGGAGCGGAAGGAGGUAAAUCAUUUGGCAUAUUUGAUUUUCAAUGAUUUUGCCAUCUAAAUCUUAUGUCAAAAUAUGAGCAAGCCAAAAAAAGGUUUAUAAAUUGCAUUGCUGGUAAAUGAGAGACAACUUGGAGGAAUCAUCUAUUGUUUUAUUUAACUGUAUGAUGAUCAAAUUUUUUGAUGAACCUUCAGCUUUUAGUAUUGAAUUCGAGGUGGCUUUGGUUCAGAAUUCCCAGGAGUUCCAAUUGAUGGAAUACUUCAUUAUUUUUUUUUAUUGAAUUAACUAAUCUUUGUGGAACUUUAAUUGUCUUCCCUACACGUUUUGCCUCUCUACCUUUUCCCCUGGGGAGAGUGUUGUAAUAUCUAGUAGCUUUUGAUUGAAUGCAUUCGUCUGUGGCUUUAUCAUAAUUAUUUGAUCAGUUUUUCCUCAAAUUUGUGUUUAAUUUGGUAAUAUAUUGAAAAUGCAAUUAUGGGGGAAAAUCUAUUGAUUGUUCUAAUUUUAAAAGCUACAACUUUUCUUCUUGUUUAUGUAAUCUGACAGCAGUUUUCUCUAAAAUUUAGCAAUUUUUAAAUAAUAAAGCUUCCAUUUUACUUGAAUUUUGUGAUGUUCAAUUUUUAGUGGCAUUUGUGCUUUAUUUGUUUAGGUAAUAUCUUGAAAAACUCAUUUAUUUGGAAAAAAAACUAUUAAUUGUGCAAAUUGUAAAAGUUGCAGCUUUUCUUUUUCUGCUAACAGGAAUGGUUCGAAGCUGAAUUAAAGCCAGUUGAAUCAAAUUGCAACGUAGUGGUCAGCGAGCAAGUGAGUAAAUAUCAAGUCCUUUUUUACCUCAUUUGGUACAUUUGCUCUUUGUAAUAAGACAUUUGCUGCGUUCGUUGUGUAUUCUACGACAAAUUAGUCUCGUCAAGGGGUAAGAGAUCGACGUCGAUUGAAAAUGCAUUUGAAGAACUACCAAAAAGGUUCAUGUGAACCCCCUUAGUUCAUAAGGACACAAUCACACAACCAAGGUAAGACCAGGCCCAACAGCGAAUAGACCAACAUAUUAUGAAUAAAGGAAAUUUCUACCUUUUGUCAUGGUUGUGUAUGGUGGAUUUUGAUGGUUUUUGGCCUUGAUUUUUGUCCAGAUAGUUUUGAUAAUGUUUUGCUUGAUUUUUUUAGCUAGAAUUUCAUGUGAAUGUUUGGAUGGUUGUAUAUGGUAGCUUUUGAUGCCUUUGUCUGGAUGAUGGAAGUACUUUAAGUUGGAAAUAUAUUCAUGCUUCCAAUUUCAUGUUUAUUGUUUUCGUUUAACUGAAGACAAUGCUAUACUUGAUAUUUGAUUUCAUGAUGUUGUGAUUUCUAAAGAACAAUCUCCAUUUGCCUGUGUUUGUUUGAUUUGAACUAGUUGUGUAUCAAAACUUUUCUAAUGACCUUCUUCAAAUGAUUUGAACAAUCUCCAUUUGUCUCUAUUGUGAUGUUCAUGCUCCCUUCAAUACUAGCAACUGAAGCUAAACUUUCCUGUCAUCACAGUCCAUGUUGUAGGAGUUGCUAUUGGUUGUAUAUAAGGCAGUUAAAUGGGUGUUAAAGGAAGUGAAGACAUUGCUGGUAUGCUUACAGCAAGUAGCUUACAAUCAUUUGAUAUCAAAGGGCUUGUUUGAGUAAUGCAGUUGAGCCUUUUAGAAGCUAAACGAGCUGGGGAUUAAGGUAGCUUAUGAAGUUCGCUUAUUAUAGGCAAUGACAAGAAACUAGGUUAAAUAUGUGACGAUAAUUUUGGCUACACAUUUCAAAAACAGUAUCCCAAAAAAAUUAAUUCAUUUCACAAAAAGCAGCAUCAAUACCAUAUUCAUUUUUUACAACAGAAUUUAAACACCAUCAACAAGACAUAAAGCUGCCUUGACAAAACAACAAAAACUCAAAAGCAAUAACAUGUUCAUGUUGCCUUCAAUACCAGCAGCUAAUGCUAACACAAAAACUAUUUCUUAAUACACGUCUCCUAGUGUCAAUACUAACAUCUAUAAGCACAUAUUCACAUUAACUACUGCACAUAACCAAGCUACUACCUUCAACUUCUAUAUGUUUCAGCACACCCCGUAGAAGUUGCUCUUCCAACCCGAUUGCCACCCCAUCGCAACCUAACUCAAUUCCAUCGUACAUUUUUCUCAAACAGCAUAUCAUUAUCUCCAGACGAUAUGUCGUUCUCCGAAUCAGUGAAGUCAGUGUCAUCCUUAGUAUCUGUCACACAAACAAGUAAUUGGAAAAGAUCAAGAGUAGUUUUCUAGAUUUUAGAUAUGUAGUAUCUUCGAACAUAAUAUCCAUCAAAUAUGGCUACAGAUUCUUUGUUUGUUAACAAUGAAAAUCAAUAAAUGAACCAAAGGAAUUUCAGUUUCAACACAAUUGUUAUAACUUUCAAAAUACAAAAUCUAUGAAUAAAAAUGAAACAACUUUCCAUUAAACUACAACGCUAUACACACAUUCUGAUUUUCUCAACUCUGAAAAUCAACAAUGAACAUAAAUUCUAAUUUCUUUUUAUUUGCAUCAGAGCUGUCAAUCUUUACACAUGCCAGUCUUUGCCAAUUUUACUAACCAAAGUAAAAAACCACACCACGUGCAGGGAAGAGGAAAAACAAUAGACCAGAAAUAGCUAUUUUACCUCCUCGUGGUCCCUUCAUGUGGGCUUCUUCAAAACCCCUUUCACACGUUGUAGGGUAGGGCGUCGAGAUGAUGUUGGAAUUAUGAUUUGAGGGAGUAGGGUUCACGCCUUCGACUGGUAUUGCUGUGAAGGCGAUGAAGAUUUGCCAAUCGCCAAGUGUGGAGGAAUCGAUUUGGGGGCGGGUUUUGAAGGAAAUCGAUCAAGGGCUUCUUGUUCAAAUUGGGGAGAAAUGGAUUGUGGGAGAAAUGGUGUUAGAGAUUUCGAUUUCAUUGUGAAUUGUCGUGUUUUUCAGAAUAAAAUCACGUCUAACAAGGUCGACUUUCACGCCGUAGACUGCCAAGUCGGCUGCCGUAAGACGCAUCAGAUAGUUUCAAAUAGUGAAAUGGUGGGUGAUGGAAAAGAGGGGUACGUCUGUAAGUUCAGUGACUAUUGAGCAGCAAAAUGAAGUUUAGUAACCACAACGUGACAUUGUGCUAAGUGAUUAAUCAAACUUCUACUCAUGUGCAAAAAAAUAUAGUUGAGGUCCCUAAAUUUAUCUAACUUUCCAUUUGGGACAUUUAACUUCCAACCUUAAACAGUGAAAACAACAACAAUGGAAUUAUUGAAAAAUAUUCUUUAUUAAACAAAGGUAUCAGAUUCACAUUUAUUCAAGAAUUCAAAAACAAAUCAUAAAUAUCAUGGCAAUAAACAUAGACGGACCCACAUCAAAAAUUUCUUUCUUAAAAAAUCUGUAAAUUAUUCAAAUUUGUUGCCAAUUAUUAUUAUUAUUAUUAUUGUUAUUAUUAUUUUAAUAAGUAAAUUAACCACAACUUUGCCCGUUGACAAGCCCAAUUGUACAAGCCCAAUUGCCCAUUACCAAAACUUUGCGUUUCAUCAUUUCAUAUGCAUUUUGAGUCUUGAUAAACCGUCCAUUGCCCUAAGACCCCCAUAGAGAGAAGAAAAUGAAGAAUCGAUCAACACAAAGAGAUCGUCAAAUCGCAAUUCAUAUUUUGGGAUUUUCUUUUUUUGUGCUAAUUUUGUGAUUUUUCUUCCGUCUAGGUAACAAAUUUACCAUCUACUUGUUUGACAUUUGUUUUUCUUCCAAGUUCCAUCUAGGUUAGCAAACUUGUAUUAAUUGGAUUUGAAUGUAGCCUUAAUUUUUCCUGUUAAUUUGGACAUUUCAUUUAAUUAGUUGCUAUUCAUUUUCAAUUUGAGAUAUGCAAGUGCAUUUUUACUUGUUGAAACUUUAAAAAUAUAUUAUACAUGUUAAUAUGUACACUUGUUUGAGUGUCCCUAAAUCUCUAGUCUCCACUUUGUGCCUCUGUUAUCUUGAUAUUAAAAAUGUGGUUCGAAGUUCUAUGGUCGUGACUUCAUUUUUCCCUUAAAUUUGUUCGCUGUGCAAAGUAGAAAUUUUGAUGUGUUAUAAGAUUGGACAAUGCGUUUUAACCUCCAUUUGUAUAUUUUAAUUGACAGGUGAUUGCGAUUUGCGAAGAUAUACGCUGCUUGUUCUAAAGAAGGUUAUUUUCUAUAUCAAGUUUAGACAUCGUUUUCGAUUUUUGACCCCACAAAACUAAACGUCUGGCUCUGUCUCUGUCUCUGCCAAUAAAAUAGAUAAGACCAACCACAGACUAAGGAAGCAUGGUAGUCUAAAUUGAUCUCUGUUUGUAAAUUUUUAUAACAAGUUGUCAAUGGUGUGAUAGUCGUCGCCCUUUUACAGAAUAGGAGCAUUCCCUUAGGGUGAGUUUGGUUUUAUAUUUUCAAACUGUUUUCAAUUUUUAGUUUAACAAAUGCCGAA